GUCCAGGGUAGCCUAGUGGACAUGGCAUCUGCCCGGUAAGCGGAACAUUGUGGGUUCGAUUCCCAUCACUGGACA